ACAGUACAAACCAGAUUUUCAUCGUGUUAACUGAGCCGUGGACCUUCAUAUUGGUCAGUGUAAGGUGAGUAUGUUAAGUUACUCCAAAAUCUGUUUAAUAUGUAACGUUAUCAUCUUUUAUAAUUGUGAAUACCAGAACGGUACGUUUUAUAUUGGAUUACGUUACAUGAAAUAGAUUUAUAAGAUUUUUAAUUAUUUUGAGUGCUUCUGUACUCACUUCUAAGAUGUUGUUUUAAUUAACUGUAAUCAACUAUCUGUAGUAUAAACAACGCCUUAAACAGUUUCGCGCUCAAAAAUUAUUUGAACUUUGUAAGCCAGUCAUGGGACGUUAACGCUUUUCAUAUUGAAAAUGUAAUACUCCUUGGCAAAAUCUUCUUCUUCUUCUUUGUGCUUAUUUGGCGGUUCGCAUUCUUAAACAGUGGCAAAAUAAUUCCCUUUCAAACAUUUCUUCCUGUCGUUAGAAAUUUAAUUAAUUAAUAAAAAAAAAAGAUAUAUAUGACGUCAGAAGAUGAACGUCUGUUUUCAGCCAUCGCCAUUUUCUCACGUUUACCCUUCCAUGUGCUUGCUCCAAUCUUGAGUUUUUCCCUCGAUUGUCAACGGCGUUUAUCUGUUAAGUUAGUCUUUUAGAGUUAGCAGAAACCUGCUUUUAAAUGUAUUAACUGAAUCUUCGAGCUUCAUCCUGACCAGUUUUGGAUUGAAGCAGAGUUCACUCGCUUAACAUCUAAGGACCUCAUGAAGUCUUUUCUCUCAGGGUUGGAUCAGUAUGUAACCAGGUUCCUUCAGAUGUUUAGAGCCAAGUUGAGCAGCAUUUUCAGAACUGAAAAGUCUUCUAUGCAAGAUUGACCGUGAUAAUUCCAUGUCAAUGAAAAGGGCCGUUGUUCUUCAAGGCCUUCCACAUUACCUCGGCGAGGAUCCAUCAGAUUUCUUCAAGUCAGCUGAGGAAACUGACAUUGAAGACGGUGUGAUGGUGGGAAUGGAUGUGGGCAUUCUCAUAAUGCCUGAUGGAGAUGAUGCCUUUGACUACUACGUGGUAGUGGAGGAACAAGUUGUCCUGAGUGAUGCCAAAGACCUCCCUCAUGCUGUGGCUCAACUAGUCGUACUGAUUUUUGCGCUUAACAUUGAUUAUCCCAAAAAACUACGCUACACAUUUGAGGUAAUUCAGAAGAUUUUAAUUGACCUUGGAGGUGAUCACUGUUCCUUGACGGUGCAUGGACUGAAAAAUAGACUCUUUCGCAAAACUGUUUAG
ensembl:lncRNA